UUACGGCCGUAUCACCUUCAAACAUCAGUUCCUGUAAGAUCACCGAACUUGAGCAACGUUGAUGCUGUUCAGUAAUGAGAUCGGUGACCGCUUGGGAAUACCAGGUGCUGUAAU